CGGACGGGUGAGUAACACGUGGAUAACCUACCUAUAAGACUGGGAUAACUUCGGGAAACCGGAGCUAAUACCGGAUAAUAUUUUGAACCGCAUGGUUCAAAAGUGAAAGACGGUCUUGCUGUCACUUAUAGAUGGAUCCGCGCUGCAUUAGCUGGUUGGUAAGGUAACGGCUUACCAAGGCAACGAUGCGUAGCCGACCUGAGAGGGUGAUCGGCCACACUGUAACUGAGACACGGUCCAG
rnacentral:rRNA from 1 species